rnacentral:tRNA from 1 species
GCCUUCGUGGUACAGUGGUCAGCACACUCGAAGCGUAUUAGAGGUCCGUGGUUCGAAUCCCGGCGAGGGCA